GACGAACGCUGGCGGCGUGCUUAACACAUGCAAGUCGAACGGAAAGGCCCUGCUUUUGUGGGGUUCUCGUUUGGCGAACGGGUGAGUAACACGUGAGUAACCUGCCCUUGACUUUGGGAUAACUUCAGGAAACUGGGGCUAAUACCGGGUAUGAUCUCCUGCUGCAUAGUGUGCGUUGGAGAGUUUCGGCGGUUGGGGAUGGUAUCGCGGCUUAUCAGCUUGUUGGUGGGGUAGUGGCUGACCAAGGCUUUGACGGGUAGCCGGCAUGGGAGGGUGACCGGCGACAAUGGGACUGAGGUACGGACCAGACUCCUACGGGAGGCAGCAGUGGGGAAUAUUGCACAAUGGGCGGAAGCCUGAUGCAGCAACGCCGCGUGCGGGAUGACGGCCUUCGGGUUGUAAACCGCUUUCGCAUGUGACGAAGCGUGAGUGACGGUAAUGGGUAAAGAAGCACCGGCUAACUACGUG
rnacentral:rRNA from 1 species